GAUGAACGCUGGCGGCGUGCCUAAUACAUGCAAGUCGAGCGAACAGACUAGGAGCUUGUUCCUCUUACAUUAGCGGCGAACGGGUGAGUAACACGUGGAUAACCUACCUAUAAGACUGGGAUAACUUCGGGAAACCGGUGCUAAUACCGGAUAAUAUCUUUAAACGCAUGGUUCAAGAUUGAAAGACGGUUUUGCUUCCACCAAUAGAUAUAUCCGGUUCGCAUUAGCUAGUUGUUAAGUUAACGGUUUACCAAGGCAACAAUCCGUAGCCGACCGGAGAGGGUGAUCGGCCAAACUGGAACGGGAACACGGUCCAGACUCCUACGGGAGGUGGAAGAGGGGAAUCUUCGGCAAUGGGCAAAAGCCUGACGGGGAAACGCGGGGUGGGUAAGGAAGGUCUUCGAAUCGAAAAACUCUGUUAUUAGGGAAGAAGAAAUGUGUAAGUAACUGUGCACGUCUUGACGGUACCUAAUCAGAAAGCCACGGCUAACUACGUG
rnacentral:rRNA from 1 species